CCAGUAGUGUCCAUGUCCACUGGUGUUGAGCUUCUAGUGCUGAACCUGACGCCUCUGGACUGUGAACACAGAAACCACAUCAUCAACACAAAUGACGCAUCGAUCCCCACAAAAUUGACAAAAUGCAGCAAUUGAAUCAUUAACUCUGCAGAAAGAAGAAAAAGAGCAUGGAGUAAUCGGCCGCAACGCAAUUUCCAGCAUGAAACUAGAACUCUACAAGUGCAUGGAAUCUAGCUGGCCAAUCACCCUCGUGACAUGGGUGAUUCUAAGAUAGACUUUCACACUUAAUCCUUCCUGUACUUCAAUCACAGAGACUUUUGAGACGAAGCAUGGCAAUCUUCCUAUACCAUUGACGUGAAGACAAAGCCCCCACAACGAUGAACCUGGAUGCCAUCGGUGAAGGUCGGUUAGUGAGCAUGGCCAGCUGAGGUUGAGGUGCGUGCGUGGCGAUGCUUGUGUGGGACUUGCAUAUUUCCACGCUUGGAAACACCACCACAUGCGGUCAAUGAGGAACAUUACACAACACUUACCCAGCAAACAGUUGAAACCAUCCACAGGGUCAAAACAUGUGUUACGAUGCAUGUUAUAGUUUUGCACAUUUCUUAAGGAAUGAGAGAAGUCAUUAAGUGGGAGUGCAGCAAUUGAAUCCGUUGUGUGUUCUGUCGUGUUUGCUGCACCGAGUCUGCACCGUCUGAACCACAGCACAAACUGCAAGGAAUAAGCUUUUCUAGUACUGAUUGAGAGUAGCAACAAAGGAAAAGACAUAUUAUUAUUUUAUUUUAUACUGGUUUUAUACUUCCUCCUCACGCUGAAGUCGAGGCACAUGUUAAACUCGGGGGCGGAGUAAUUCCAAUACUUAAAAUUUGUAGCAUUAGAUGGGGACCAAACAUGCAAGUCACCAACUCCAUUAGCAAAAAAAAUUAAAAAUUAAAAAAAUCCCAAUCACAACUUGUAUACAUGUUUUAGUUAUUGCUUUGAUACAAUACACAACAUUAAGUA